AGCAAAUUUUCCCCUGACUGUGCCUGAGAAAGAUGUGUGCCUUGCAUUGUGGGAGGGGAUGAGCUACAGGUGUGAAGCAUCAAACUUAAUUAGGUUUUUUUUAACUACCCACAUCAGUUGCUUAGUAUAUGGAAGCUGACUGGACCUUACAUGAAGUUAAUUAGAGGAAGAAUUUUAGUACUGGUGCCUAUGGCUGAGGGAAUAAGACCAGCAGUGAUAAGAAUGAAAUAGCAAAGGCUCUGAAGCAGCAUGAAGCAGUGAACAGACCUCACUUUGGAAACCUUAUAACGAAGAAGCUUUCCAAUGGAAGUCAUGGAUAUUGCCACUUUUGUGGUUAAGCCUCUAACCAAGAUGUCAGUUCUGCUGGUCUGGGUGUCUUGCUGUCAACUGCUGAAUCCUGGAAAAGAGUUCAUGUUCAGAUUUAGACAAGGAGGAAUCAUAGCUGCUGUCAAAAUUGUCAUUCCCCACCAGAUGCCCUAACUUCCCACUGCUCCCCGCUGGUACUGCUGCCCCUGUUGUCUCUCCAUCCAAAGAGUUUCUGAACAAGAGACAAGCUUUUAUGGAGCCUGGCAAAGCUUCAGAAGGGAAAAGGAAAAAUCGAUACUGCUUCAAAGCAAAGUCUUUGCUUCAGUGAAUAUGACAUUUGCCCUUUCUUCACUAGGGGGAAAAACAACAAGGACACUUACACCGGCAAUGGAAAUAGAAUGAACAACAGAGAGACCUUCCAGGUUUGACAUGUAAAGGGAAAUAACUUUGUAGUUAUUGUCCCUACUUGGAGACAUCAAAAACAGGUGUAGAGUGUAAGGCGGUGCAGGCUGAGAACGAAGUGGAAAGUAACACAAAGUCAAAGAGAAGAGUUGAAGGAAUUUGGAACAAGGGAUAAUGGACUUGGCUGAAAAGAUGGAGAAUGAAAGACACUGCGCAAAGGUGAAGUCCAUUGUUGUACAAUCAAAUUAACUAUUAAAUGUCAGCUGCAAAGGUGAGCCAUAAUAUUAAAAGGACCUUCCAGUAAGUUUUACGCCAUUUUGACAGCUUUACAGCCACUGAAAAUGUCCAUAGAGCCUCACAGUUUGCUAAUGAAUGGCUUCUCCAUAAGAAUGGAACAGGUCAGAAACUUUGAAAGAGAAGCUGGAAAUACCAAUUAAAGAAAUGGAUGCUUCUGCAAAAUCAAAACAACUUUGAAGAACACUCACUUAUAUUUUUGGAGGAUUCACAAAGAACUGAACUAAAUAUAAGCCUUAGAAGUCUGCUCCAAUUCUUUUCCAUAUCCAGGUUUUCAUUAAUUUCAUUCUAAAGCUGGUUAUAACCCCCUGAUUCCAUUCUAUUUUGAUGAUGCCACUACUGAGCUAGUUUCCCAAGUUGUGCUGUUUUGAUGUUUCUACUUUUGUGUCAUUCACCACGUGGAAUUUUAUGGACCUCUUUUCUUUUGGAAUAACACCCAUCAUUUAAAUGUUGUCACUGUUCAAAAAUACUUCUUUUCUUAUGCGAAGCUGUUCCUUCAGCUGCAGCUGCCACCAGUAGUGGUUAACUUGUGGCACCUAAAUUCCCCGCUGAGUGGGUCAGCUGCUGCUGUUGCAGUUAUGUGUCAGAGCAGGCUUCAUCCUUGGUGAAUCAAAUAGCAUGACUUCUGAGGAGCACACUCGUAGUGCAGCAGGACAGUCAUGUACUCAUACUCUGACCCCUGUACUGCUGCUGGGUGAGAGUUCUGCAGCUACAAGAAUCAAUAAAAAUGUAUUGAUUUCUCUGCACUGUCAUAAAGCUUGUCUGCUCUCAUCUCCAGUUUGCAAGCAGAAAAAGAAGAGUGUAAAACUGCAAUUGUCUUAGGCUUUCUCUCACCUCCCCCGUUCCACGCUCAUCACUCCAGAGACCAAGAUCUGUUUCUGACAUGCUGCCCCAGCUGCUGUAUCAGCAUCCUACUCUUUUAACACUUUGUGUUGGAAAAAUAGCUGGUUUUGAAACUAAGUAAGUGCAGGGGGAUUGCCUUAAAGACUAAGGUGAGUGACUUCUCUGGAGCUUAAUUUGUCCCACUGCAUGGAGAAAAGGUUAGCCAAGGGCAAAUAAUGUGAUGAGGAGUUCAUUGUCUCUGUAGGUAUUGCAGUCUCACAUAAAGUUACUUUUCUAGGCUGUUUCAGAUCCCUUUGAAAGUGAUGUUUUCUAUUCUAGGAAGAAGGUGGGUAGUGAUCAUUGAUCUGAAGAACGUAGGAAUGUCCUCCACUGCUGGUAGCUGUCUCAGAGGUAAAAGUGAAGCAGGAGAAGGGUAAAAUAGUAUUUUCAAUAAUAUUUAACUUCACAGCAACUGUCACCUAAUAACCAUACCUGUCAAAAGGCAGCUGUGCAGAUAUGUGCCUCUGAGGUUCAUGCAGAUUACUUGGGAAGCUUGGCUUCAAGCUUCUGGGGAUGGAUGUAACAAUUUGUCAGCUGUAUAAUCAGUUGAUCAAAUCCCAAAGUCCUGAUAAAACGCAGAAUGCAGUCAUGGAGCAAACAGGCCAGAAAAGAUUCACCCAAAAGACAGAAGUACAAGACCCCUGCACAUUGCUGAGUACAAUUUCAUGAUUUCCAUGAUUUCACUGCCUAGGUCAGCAGUAUCAGUGAACGACUAUAUUGGAAUAUUACAGAUCAACAACAAAAGAAGCAUGAAAGGGGAGCAACUUGCAUUGUUUAAAAGCAUCUCCUUGGAUGCUUUUGUUUCUGUGAAGAAUGAGGACUUUGACACUCAGCUAUUCUUUUGAUGAGGUCCUCAGCUGCACCAGUUCUGAUAGAAAUAUUUGCAGUGCUGCAAAUUAACAAGCGAUACACACACGUGACCACUGGUCAAAUGACUGACUGUGUCUGUAUCGUCAGUUGUCAAUGUAACUAUGUGUUACUUAAUGUAUUUGUGGCGCAGGAAGUAGGCACUGCUUUCUGCUCUACCAGCUGAAGGGCAAGGCAGACCUGCUGACAAGUAGGAAAAUACAGGUUUAUCAACCCUGCUGCUUUAGUGACUUUCCUUGCAUUGAUGGCUUCAAGCAAGUAAUUCCAAGAAUGCAAUAUUUUAAAUGCAUGCUGUUGGGUUGUUAUAUGCAGGAUGUUGAGUCAGGCUCACACACAGUGUUAUUACUUAGGUCUGCAACUGCAGACCCAGACAAGGAAAAGGGAAAAUUCCUUUGUGAGCAGUUAGGAAGGAAGCACAGGUGGGUCCCCAGAAGGGUGUUCUCUGGGGGCUCUCUGCAGCUCAGCUGGCAGUGAGGAUGAAGAGGAAAAUAAGAAUGUUUUUGGCAUGCUUUUGCAGAAUAUAUUGUAUAUUUUUGUUCGUACCUUUUUUUUUUUCCUAGUAGGAUCAAAUCAAAAUCCCUGUUGGAUUUUCCUGUUAGUAGGAUAAUUACAGUAGAGCAUGGUAGCAAGAUAAAAGUAUUGUGUGUUGGUCACUGAAAUGUGCUCGUAUAUUUUCUGAUAAUGUUUCAGUAUUCAAUUGACUUGUCUCCUUUGUUGUGCAUUAUGCUUAAUUGAGUUUAAUAUAAAGUAACAUAUACAAUAUGAGAUAAGAAAAGGUUGGGGAAAAGGCGUGGUCUUUACAUCUGUGGCAGUUGGUUCCCACAAGAACGUGCUGUAACAACAUUAUUGGGGCUUGCAGGUGCAAGGCCCUGUGAACAAUAAAGAAAGGUGUGAAAACAAGGGCAAAACACUGCCUCAGCAGCUGCUGUGAAAGAAUGGAGAGCUGCAAAUAACAGCCCCUCUGCGCUGCUAAGGUUGAAGAGCAGAAAUACCAAGGCACAGCACAACAGCCCACACUCAGUUCCAGGUCAGGCAGAUGUGAUCUCGUUGUGUUCAAUGUCUCAUCUGUGCGUUAGACUUGAGCCAUAGCCCUGCAAUGGAAGAGGUCAACAUAGCCUUUACAUCAAGAUAUACAUGCAAGCCACUUAUAUGCUUGGGUUUGGGGCAGGCUUUUUGAAACAGUGUUUAUACAAAAGAAAAGAAGUACAGUCCUUCCCAAGUAAAAAAAACAUAAACUCACAUCUCUUCCCUCCCUCCCAUGCAGAUAUCAGGAUUCUGUAGCCCACAGAUCAAAAUAUAGCCCAAUCAAGCUGGUGAAACAACCCAGAUUUUAGAGAUGAAGGUCUCUAAACUGGGAGAGUUCUUCUGCUGACCAGCAGACUGUUAAAGCCUGUGACUGUUUGCUUCAGCACUACAGUUGCUAUGGCAAUUCAUAUAGACAAAAGUAGUAACCUUUCAGGUUACAACCAGGUAAAAAACUAGGACUUAAAAUAUACUCAGAAACAAACAGGAAGC
ensembl:lncRNA